rnacentral:rRNA from 1 species
GCAUGGGUAAGUAUAAACAAUUUUAUACUGUGAAACUGCGAACGGCUCAUUAUAUCAGUUAUUGUUUAUUUGAUGAUACCUUACUACUUGGAUAACCGUAGUAAUUCUAGAGCUAAUACAUGCAAUAAUUCCCAACUUCUGGACGGGAUGUWUUUUUUAWAUAUCAACCAACCCUCUUCGCAGGUUUUUGGUGAAUCAUAAUAACUGUGCGGAUCGCAGAGGCCUUUGCGCCAGCGAUGAAUCAUUCAAGUUUCUGCCCUAUCACCUUUCGAUGUGAGUGKAUUGRACUACCAUGGCGGUGACGWGUAACRGAKAAURUAUGGUUCGAUUCCGAGAGAGGGAGCCUGASAAAUGGCUACCACAUCCAAGGAAGGCAGCAGCGCGCGUAAAUUACCCAAUCCCACAUUCGAGGGAGGUAGUGACAAUAAAUAUCAAUGCGGGGCACWCAAUGUCUUGCAAGUGGAAUGAGUACAUAUUUAA